GUCUGUUCCCUUCCAAUGGGAGAAAGACCAGUUUUCCUCCAGCAUCAGGAGAUUCUCGCAGCCAAUGCGAGGCCAGACCCCAGUGACUCACCCCACAGUGUGUCGUUUCUCAAGCAGAUGUUCCGGGACCACAUGAAAGCUGGCAGGUUCAGUGUAUGGGGCCAGCAGUGGAGAGGAAGCGAACAGCUCAAUGGCAACUAGCUUAUAAACCUUCAGGCCCCCGGCAGCCUCCUGGGGACUCCUUGCCCUCUCGGGACCCUGAACAUGAACCAAGUCUCACACUUCCAACCCCUGGGAUGGAGACUCAGCCGGGAAAUGUGGGUUAAGUCAGGAAAUAGGACGGACCCUCUUUCCUCCACUUCAAGAUACACUUCGUCUUGUCCUUCCCUGCAGUGAAGGUCAUCAUGUUCAGCUGGCGUAACUUCCUCCCCGUUGAUGCAAGAAUCAAAUGAGAAAAUGCCACGUCCUGGUCCCUACGAGAGCAUCAGGGUGGUGCAAAUAGAAGCCAUUGCGAUCAGAGUGCAAAUGGCACAGGGAGGUGUUCCCUGGUGCCCCUGCCCUUUGCAAGGUGACAACCGCUCUGGGCUGAGAGUGUUGGCGGUAGGAGAGUCAGAAGCAGAAAUACUGAUAAGGAGCAACGAUCACGGGAUCAGCCCACGCCUCACCCCCUUCCCAGGGAGAGGGUCUGAAGUUUCUCAUUCUGGAACUACCCAUGAUCUUCCAGCAAGAUGUUUGUCCUACGGUUUUGAGCACCUGGCCCCCUGGUUUGAGAAGCCCUGCCUUCAAAUCACAUCAGGAUUGAGGGCCGCUGUCAUACUGCCUGUGUUGGAAUUGACUUCAAAAUACUUUGGUGUAGGGGUGCCUGGGUGGCCCGGUUGGUUAAGUGUCUGACUCUUAAUUUCAGCUCAGGUCACGAUCUCACAGUUCAUGG